GCGAGGAUGGCGGAAUUGGCAGACGCGCAAGACUUAGGAUCUUGUGCCGCAAGGCGUAAGGGUUCAAGUCCCUUUCCUCGCACCA
rnacentral:tRNA from 1 species